rnacentral:rRNA from 1 species
CCUAAGGUAGCGAAAUUCCUUGUCGGGUAAGUUCCGACCCGCACGAAAGGCGUAAUGAUUUGAGCGCUGUCUCGACAAUGCACCCGGUGAAAUUGAAAUACCAGUGAAGAUGCUGGUUACCUGCGCCAGGACGGAAAGACCCCAUGGAGCUUUACUCCAGCUUGAUACUGGGAUUCGGUUAUACAUGUACAGGAUAGGUGGGAGGCUAAGAAGUGAGGACGCCAGUCUUCACGGAGCCGCUGUUGGGAUACCACCCUUGUGUGACUGGGUUUCUAACCUGCAGCCGUGACCCGGCUGGGGGACAAUGUCAGGUGGGGAGUUUGACUGGGGCGGUCGCCUCCGAAAGGGUAUCGGAGGCGCUCAAAGGUUCCCUCAGAAUGGUUGGAAACCAUUCGAAGAGUGCAAAGGCAGAAGGGAGCUUGACUGCGACACCGACGGGUGGAGCAGGUACGAAAGUAGGACUUAGUGAUCCGGUGGUAUAAAGUGGGAUUGCCAUCGCUCAACGGAUAAAAGCUACCCUGGGGAUAACAGGCUUAUCACUCCCAAGAGUUCACAUCGACGGAGUGGUUUGGCACCUCGAUGUCGGCUCAUCGCAUCCUGGGGCUGAAGUAGGUCCCAAGGGUUGGGCUGUUCGCCCAUUAAAGCGGUACGCGAGCUGGGUUCAGAACGUCGUGAGACAGUUCGGUCCCUAUCCGUCGCGGGCGUAGGAAAUUUGAGAGGAGCUGUCCUUAGUACGAGAGGACCGGGAUGGACUGACCUCUGGUGUACCGGUUGCACUGCCAAGUGCAUAGCCGAGUAGCCAAGUCGGGACGGGAUAAACGCUGAAGGCAUCUAAGCGUGAAGCCCCCCUCAAGAUGAGAUAUCCCAUACGCAAGUAGUAAGACCCCUUGAAGACGACGAGGUAGAUAGGGCAGAGGUGGAAGUGUGGUAACACAUGGAGCUGACUGUUACUAAUCGAUCGAGGGCUUGACCAA